GACCAUAGAAGCAAACUGCUCCCAUUGCUGUUCAGAAUCUUCAACCCAGUGCUGUGCAAUGGCAUUCUCAAAAGCUUUUUCUUCUUCUCUGCUCCACACUACUGAAGAUGAUGAUGAAUCUGAAGGUGACAUUUCUAAAUCUCUUUCUUGUUUCAAUUUUUUAGUUCAAUUUGGGGAAAAUUGCAUCUAAUCUUCAGUUUGAAAGAAAGAAAGCAAGAAAAUAAUAAUAACUCUAGUAGGGAAGAAAAAGAAAGUGGGGAGGGGUAUCAAAUGUAUUAAUGGUGAAGGACCACUUUGAGGUUGAAGUGAUGGGCUGAUUUGUCACCUUCAUACAAAGUCAUGCAAACUAAAUUACAAAAAGUGAAAACCCAAUUCUAUUUCUACAAAUAAUUAUUUUUCACUUACUUAAAAGAGUCCGUAGAGAUUCUAUUAUUAAAAUUAAAAUUCUUAUGAUAAAAUAUUGAUCAAAGUUUACAAAGACUCUAUACGUAUAAAGCUGACAAAAAGGUGGGCAAAAGAACAAACAGAAAAGGGGAAAGAGGAAAAUAUGGGAAGGUAGUGUAGAAAAUUUACCAACUUUUAAUCCAGCGGUAAAAUCUUUACUAGUUAAUAGAAUGGAAACUAUGGAAUAUACAAUGAUUAAAAGGGUGGAAUAAUAAAAAUAAAGAAACAUAAAAGUUUAAAAAAAGGGUAUCUAUUUCAUCAUUAAAAUGAAAAAAAAAAAAAAAAAGUGGCAUCUUAUUAGUAGCAAUGAUUGAAUGGGUGAAUGGCAAUAAGAGGUUCCAUACAAAAUCUUGUAGCAAAUUUGGGCCACGCACUGUUUGCCCUCGUGAUUCUAGGAAUAGUACUAAGGACUUAGAAGGGGCAAAUCGUGAUUAAUUUUAGAAUGAAUUUAUUCAAUAUUUGAUUAAGAUAAAAUUGUAAAAUAAUUUAUUUAAGAAGUAGUUGUUUAAAAGUUUUAGUACAUUGAGAAGAAAAUAAUGAUUCGGAAAUAAUUAAUUAUAAUAGAACUCGUUCUUAAUGAAAUGAGUAUAGGAUUAGGAUAUACUAGAGAUAAUAAUAUUGUUAUUGACUUUAAUAUUAUUUAAUUCUUUAUUUUGUAAUCUUUUGACCUAUUGUUUCAGUAAUAUUAGGUUAAUAAUGGUGGGUGGGAAGAAGCAGGAUUGGAGUCAAAUUAUUUAAAACAUUAAUUGCAACUUUGCAAGUAAUCAAAGAUCUAAUUAUGUACUGAUCAAGAAUGUAUGAUAAAAUGAUAAUCACGUGCCAAUUUGCUUUAACUUUUGGUUAAACAGAUCCAAUUCUUGUGUUCUUUCUCCGAAAUCAACGAUCGUAUAGAAAUUAAUUUUUUAUAUAUAGUCAUUAUUCUAAUAUUAAAUCAUCUUCAAGAGUAGUUGAUCC
rnacentral:lncRNA from 1 species